rnacentral:rRNA from 1 species
UACGUAGGGACCAAGCGUUGUUCGGAUUUACUGGGCGUAAAGGGCGCGUAGGCGGCGUGACAAGUCACUUGUGAAAUCUCCGGGCUUAACUCGGAACGGUCAAGUGAUACUGUUGUGCUAGAGUGCAGAAGGGGCAAUCGGAAUUCUUGGUGUAGCGGUGAAAUGCGUAGAUAUCAAGAGGAACACCUGAGGUGAAGACGGGUUGCUGGGCUGACACUGACGCUGAGGUGCGAAAGCGUGGGGAGCAAACAGG